AAAUGGAUACAGUCCUUACACUCAUGGAGCUUACAUGGCACUCAAAAACAUGAGAAUAAAUGUAAAAUUUCAACGUUAUAAGAGCUGCAGAGAAGAGCAAAUAUAGGAAAGCCUAUAAUAGGGGAUUUGAUCCAACGGGAUGAACAGAAGCCUUCCCCAGAGAAGUUCCUUGGCGAGAGGAAUUGUUCACUGGUGCAUGCCCGGCUCGCACAGGCAAGACUCCUUACAUGAACAGAUGAACAACCCCAUUAAAACAAAUAGUAACGUGGAUGUCAUAACAGAAAGAUUUUCUUCCCAAAGUACAAAUUCUUCCACUAAUCUCAUGUAAUAUAUUGUUGGGUAUACAACCACACAGAAAACAACAGCUAUUUCAAAUGAGUUGGUUUAAUUCCAGGUGGUACAGAAUUCAGGACAGAACAAGGACUUAAGAACACACUUUGGCAGGAUUCUGGGCUGGGUUUAUGCAGAUCUCACAGCUAAGGUAGAAAUGGCUGAGAAGAACUAAAGACAAGAUGAGCCACUGUAUGAUUUUUUUUUUUUUUUUUU